UCCCAAGUGGUUCAGUGGUAAAGAACCUGCCUGCAAUGCAGGAGAUGCAGGUACAAUCCCUGGAUCGGGAA
rnacentral:tRNA from 1 species